rnacentral:rRNA from 1 species
UCAAGUGACUAAGUGCAUGUGGCGGAUGCCUUGGCGAUCACAGGCGAAGAAAGACGCGGCAGCCUGCGAAAAGCUGCGGGGAGCUGGCAAACGAGCUUUGAUCCGCAGAUAUCUGAAUGGGGGAACCCACACCGCAAGGUGUAUCCGUAGCUGAAUACAUAGGUUACGGAGGCGAACGAGGAGAACUGAAACAUCUAAGUAUCCUCAGGAAAAGAAAUCAACCGAGAUUCCGGCAGUAGCGGCGAGCGAACCCGGAGGAGCCCAGCUUUUGAUAGUACGAACUUUAGCCGAAAGGUCCUGGAAAGGCCUGCUAUAGUGGGUGAUAGCCCCGUAGGCGAAAGAGUUGGUACGGUACUAAGGAAGCGAGAAGUAGAGCGGGACACGUGGAAUCCUGUUCGAAGACGGGGGGACCAUCCUCCAAGGCUAAAUACUCGUGAUCGACCGAUAGUGAACCAGUACCGUGAGGGAAAGGCGAAAAGAACCCCGGGAGGGGAGUGAAAUAGAACCUGAAACCGCAUGCAUACAAACAGUAGGAGCCUCAUCAGAGGUGACUGCGUACCUUUUGCAUAAUGGGUCAGCGACUUACAUUCUGUGGCGAGCUUAACCGAAUAGGGGAGGCGCAGCGAAAGCGAGUUCGAAAUGAGCGUCCAGUCGCAGGGUGUAGACCCGAAACCAGAUGAGCUAUCCAUGGCCAGGUUGAAGGUGUGGUAACACACACUGGAGGACCGAACCGACUAGUGUUGCAAAAUUAGCGGAUGAGCUGUGGAUAGGGGUGAAAGGCCAAACAAAUCUGGAGAUAGCUGGUUCUCCCCGAAAACUAUUGAGGUAGUGCCUCGUGUGUCGCUCCAGGGGGUAGAGCACUGUUUUGGCUAGGGGGACAUGGAGUCUUACCAAACCAAGGCAAACUCCGAAUACCUGGAAGCGUGAGCACGGGAGACAGAGCACCGGGUGCUAACGUCCGGACUCAAAAGGGAAACAACCCAGACCGCCGGCUAAGGUCCCAAAUAACAGCUAAGUGGAAAACGAAGUGGAAAGGCCGUGACAACCAGGAAGUUGGCUUAGAAGCAGCCAUCCUUCAAAGAAAGCGUAAUAGCUCACUGGUCGAGUCCUUCUGCGCGGAAGAUGUAACGGGGCUAAGCUGUUAACCGAAGCCGCGGAUGCACUGGUUAUCCAGUGCGUGGUAGGGGAGCGUUCUGUAAGUCUGCGAAGGCGGUUCGAGAGGACUGCUGGAGAUAUCAGAAGUGCGAAUGCUGACAUGAGUAACGUUAAAGCAGGUGAAAAGCCUGCUCGCCGUAAGCCCAAGGAUUCCUGCUCUACGUUCAUCGGAGCAGGGUGAGUCGGCUCCUAAGGUCAGGCCGAAAGGCGUAGCCGAUGGGAAUCAGGUUAAUAUUCCUGAACCUGCGUCAGAUGCGAUGGGGGGACGGAGCAUGGAAGAUCAUCCGGGUGUUGGAAGUCCCGGUUGUUUAGCGUAGGAGGUCUGCAGGCAAAUCCGCAGACGCAUCUCCAAGGCAAAGACACGUGCCGCCACGGCGGCGAAGUGAUCGGAAGUGCUUCCAAGAAAAGCCUCUAAGCUUCAGUCUGAUGCGGACCGUACCGCAAACCGACACUGGUGGGCGAGCUGAAUAUGCUCAGGCGCUUGAGAGAACUCGGGAGAAGGAACUCGGCAAAUUGACACCGUAACUUCGGAAGAAGGUGUGCCGUAGUACCGUGAGAGGAGAGACACCUUGAGCGGGAAACGGUCUCAGAGAAUAGGUGGCUGCGACUGUUUAUUAAAAACACAGCACUCUGCAAAGUCGAAAGACGACGUAUAGGGUGUGAUGCCUGCCCGGUGCUGGAAGAUUAAUUGAUGGGGUGAGAGCCCUUGAUCGAAGCCCCAGUAAACGGCGGCCGUAACUAUAACGGUCCUAAGGUAGCGAAAUUCCUUGUCGGGUAAGUUCCGAC